AUACGGAGGGUGCGAGCGUUAAUCGGAAUUACUGGGCGUAAAGCGUACGUAGGCGGUUGGUUAAGUUAGAUGUGAAAGCCCCGGGCUUAACCUGGGAACUGCAUUUAAAACUGGCGAACUAGAGUUGAGUAGAGGGGAGUGGAAUUUCAGGUGUAGCGGUGAAAUGCGUAGAGAUCUGAAGGAACACCAGUGGCGAAGGCGACUCCCUGGACUCGAACUGACGCUGAGGUACGAAAGCGUGGGUAGCAAACGGGAUUAGAAACCCUUUGUAGUCC
rnacentral:rRNA from 1 species